AGCAACCCCGACUCACGAAGGGGUGUAUUUAUUAGAUAGCAAGCAAGUUUAGGGUAGUGUCCUCACAGACGGGUAACGGGGAAUUAGGGUUCGACUCCGGAGAGGGGGCUACCACAUCCAAGGAAGGCAGCAGGCGCGCAAAUUACCCAAUCCCGACACGGGGAGGUAGUGACAAGAAAUACUGAUACAGGAUUCUUUUGGAUCUUGUAAUUGGAAUGAGUACAAUUUAAACCCAUUAAAGCGUAUAUUAAAGUUGUUGCAGUUAAAACGCUCGUAGUUGAACUUUGGGCCUGGCUGGCCGGUCUGCCUCACCGCGUGUACUGGUCUGGCUGGGUCUUUCCUCUUGGGGAGCUGCAUGCCCUUCACUGGGUGUGCCAGGGAACCAGGACUUUUACUUUGAAAAAAUUAGAGUGUUCAAAGCAGGCCUUUGCUUGUAUUAGCAUGGAAUAAUUGGUUUCUAGGACCGCCGUAAUGAUUAAUGAAAGCAUUUGCCAAAGAUGUUUUCAGAAAGGGAU
rnacentral:rRNA from 1 species